rnacentral:rRNA from 1 species
AGUUGACUCCGUGCAGAGACGACGCUGGCGGCGUGCCUAAUACAUGCAAAGUCGAGCGGACCGGAUGGGAGACUUGCUCCCAGAAGUUAGCGGCGGACGGGUGAGUAACACGUGGGCAACCUGCCCUAUAGUUGGGGAUAACUCCGGGAAACCGGGGCUAAUACCGAAUGAUAUAAUUUAGCUCCUGCUAGAUUGUUGAAAGAUGGUUUACGCUAUCGCUAUAGGAUGGGCCCGCGGCGCAUUAGCUAGUUGGUGAGGUAACGGCUCACCAAGGCGACGAUGCGUAGCCGACCUGAGAGGGUGAUCGGCCACACUGGGACUGAGACACGGCCCAGACUCCUACGGGAGGCAGCAGUAGGGAAUCUUCCACAAUGGGCGAAAGCCUGAUGGAGCAACGCCGCGUGAGUGAAGAAGGUUUUCGGAUCGUAAAACUCUGUUGUAGGGGAAGAACAAGUACAGUAGUAACUGGCUGUACCUUGACGGUACCUUAUUAGAAAGCCACGGCUAACUACGUG